rnacentral:rRNA from 1 species
GGGCCCGCACAAGCGGUGGAGCAUGUGGUUUAAUUCGAUGCAACGCGAAAAACCUUACCUACCCUUGACAUCAUCAGAACUUGUUAGAGAUAACUCGGUGCCUUCGGGAACUGAUUGACAGGUGCUGCAUGGCUGUCGUCAGCUCGUGUCGUGAGAUGUUGGGUUAAGUCCCGUAACGAGCGCAACCCUUAUCCUUAGUUGCCAGCACGUAAUGGUGGGGACUCUAAGGAGACUGCCGGUGCUAAGCCGGAGGAAGGCGGGGACGACGUCAAGUCAUCAUGGCCCUUACGGGUAGGGCUACACACGUGCUACAAUGGCCGGUACAGAGGGUUGCCAAGCCGCGAGGUGGAGCUAAUCUCAGAAAGCCGGUCAUAGUCCGGAUCGGAGUCUGCAACUCGACUCCGUGAAGUUGGAAUCGCUAGUAA